UUAUGAACACAAUCGCACCACUGUGCGCUGCCGCCUCUGCUGCACUUAGCCAUUUUUCCCCAUUUGGUUCAAUUGCGCCAAUAUAAACAGUGACCUUGAAAAUAAGGAAAUUAAAGAAAGAGGAAUCAAAGAAGUACGCCAGCCGAAACCAAACACAUCCAUUGGUACAUAUUGUACAUAUAUAUUACCACGCACACAAAUGCAGCUACAUGCCGACAGUCAGGUCGCCCAUGCAGAGAUCAUUCAGACAUUUUGGGAGCAGCGCAUGUGCGCACACACAGGUAGACAUCGGCGCUUAACUUGCCCAUUUCUAUUUCUCUUUUUCAUUGUUUAUUGUUUUCUCGUACAUACUUCAUACAUAUUUACUUGUUUACAAGCAUUGGCGAAUUGGAUUUGAGACUUUGCAUCGUUGGCAAAAUUCAGCGAAUAAAAUUAGUCCCUUUGCGUUAAGCUGCUCUGUUUCAGAAGGGAUGGAUAGUUAAAGAUUUAAUGAGUAAGAGCACGCAGGCUCCAAAUUUUCGAAACAAACGAGAUUUGUGUACUUCUUACCUACCCGGCGUUCCAUCUGCUUGCUAUUCUUUAUGGUUGGCCUGUAUGUUGUCAGACAUGUAGGCAAAUAUUUAGCUAAACCCACGGCAAAACAUAAACAAGAUGGGCAAAUAAGUAGCACGUAGACAUUUCGGAAAUCGAUUUUUUUCUAAUUUCGCUAAGCGACGAUGGACCAGAAUGCAGAAAAUCAGUUUUAGAACUGAGUGAGAGUGUGUAGGUGUGUGGUGUUUGUGGACGCUUGACUGUUUGUUACUUUUGUCAGGCAUUUGAAUUUGAAAAACGCCAGAAUUAAAACUGUGGAAGAACCGCUCUCGAAAUUACAAUUGUGUACAAUAUUUGAGAGAGAGCUUGCAACCUCUGAAUCAUACACCGGAUAUUGUUUCGAAUGAAGAAUGCUUUUAAGAAGCAUCCUAACAACAAUUGUUCAAUAAAUGGUGUAACGUGGCUUUUACCACCUUACAAUAAUUUACGUCAACUUCGCUCCACAGUACAUCAUGUACCCUCACCAUACCACCAUACGUACUUAACUUCACCGCAUUGACUACGCACACAACUUACCUCACUACGAUGAUGAAAGCUGCUAGACCAUACGUACUAACGCACCAUACGCAUACAACUUACCUCGCUACGGUGACGAAAGCUGCGCUAUGCUGCUAUAAAAGCAAGCACUUUACACCAAAUUCGAUCAUUUGCUCCAGCUCGCCGAACAGGACGGUCGCCCAGCAUUGCGCAGAAAAUAGCAGUAAGCAGGGGUUGAUACCGGUACGCGCAAAGGCUCGACCGUUACUACGAGGAGCACAGCUGCGCUGCCUCGAACAGCGUCAGUACCGCUGCUUACGUACCGUAAGGCACCGUUAGUGAAAACUAACGCGACUAACAGGCGACAUGUAAGUGCAGUACUGUGGGAGUUGAUAGCUGGAGGCCAACGAAGACGGUUGGCUAUUAACGAAAUCUCUCCUACACAAAGGAGUCCGUCACAUCACCGUGCCAGUCGCAACAAGCGUCAACGCCUGGCUCAUCAAUUCCGUUCGUUUUCAUCACCGUGCCAGUCGCAACAAGCGUCAACGCCUGGCUCAUCAACUCCGUUCGUUUUCAUCACCGUGCCAGUCGCAACAAGCGUCAACGCCUGGCUCAUCAAUUCCGUUCAUUUUCAGCACCGUGCCAGCUUCAACAAGCGUCAACGCCUGGCUCAUCAAUUCCGUUCGUUUUCAUCACCGUGCCAGCUUCAACAAGCGUCAACGCCUGGUUCGCCAAUCUCGUUCGUUUUCAUCAUCACUGUACACAUCACGCUGGUCUGGCUGUCCACAUAAGGGGUGGGGUGUGGAUACAACUUUAUGAGGAUAAAGCUAGUCUUUUUUGCUAAGGGUUCGUGGGUCCCAAGGCUGACCCUGGAGCGGCUGAGCAUACCUCAGCUAUGGACGAAAACCCAUUACAAUGGGAAAAUCAAUUCAAAAUGCAUACAAUAUUUUAGUGUCGUUAUCGAUAAUACCAACCAUAUUUUAGUGGAAUCUACGUCAAAGAAUUUAUAUUAUUACAUUGUCUAAUAUCAAUAUUCAACGGUUGUCUUGAAAUAAAUAUUUUUUAAUCCAUUAAA